rnacentral:rRNA from 1 species
UACGAAGGGGGCUAGCGUUGCUCGGAAUUACUGGGCGUAAAGCGCGCGCAGGCGGUUCUUCAAGUCAGAGGUGAAAGCCCAGGGCUCAACCCUGGAAUGGCCUUUGAGACUAGAGAACUAGGGUACGGGAGAGGUGAGUGGAAUUCCGAGUGUAGAGGUGAAAUUCGUAGAUAUUCGGAAGAACACCAGUGGCGAAGGCGGCUCACUGGCCCGUUACCGACGCUCAGGCGCGACAGCGUGGGGAGCAAACAGG